rnacentral:rRNA from 1 species
UAGGAUUCCCUCAGUAGCGGCGAGCGAACAGGGAAGAGCCCAGCACCGAAUCCCGCGGCCGAUUCCGGACGCCGGGAAAUGUGGUGUUAGGGAGGAUCCGUCAUCCCGAGGUCGUGCGGCGCGUCCAAGUCCUUCUUGAACGGGGCUACAGCCCAUAGAGGGUGCCAGGCCCGUAGCGACCGCUGCCGAUCGCGGGAGGAUCUCUCCUCAGAGUCGGGUUGCUUGAGAGUGCAGCCCUAAGUGGGUGGUAAACUCCAUCUAAGGCUAAAUAUGACCACGAGACCGAUAGCGAACAAGUACCGUGAGGGAAAGUUGAAAAGAACUUUGAAGAGAGAGUUCAACAGUACGUGAAACCGUUCAGGGGUAAACCUGAGAAACCCGAAAGGUCGAAAGGGGAGAUUCAGCGUGUCUCAAGUGUCGUUUCCGGGUGGUCGUGUGACGGACGGCGUACGCGUCGUCCGCACCCUCGAUCCGCGACGCGGCCUCGAACGCGUGCACUUCUCCCCUAGUAGGACGUCGCGAUCCGUUGGGCGCCGGUCUAGGGCCUCCGGUGGAGACCGUCAGGACGGCUCGCCGUACCAGACGAACCCGGAGUGUUUUCCGACCGGCUCGCUCGACGGUAGAAAGAUGGCGCGGGGCCGCUACUCAGUUAGCGUUCGACUCGCGGCAAGCGCGCUCGUCGUGUCGGUGAUCGGACCUCGUGCCGGUCCCGGCCGCGAGUGGCUGUUCGCCGUGAUGUUCUCGAACAGACCCCGUCGAAACGCCGAUCUGCGACGCUAUAGCGUUGGGUACUUUCAGGACCCGUCUUGAAACACGGACCAAGGAGUCUAGCAUGUGCGCGAGUCAUUGGGACAUUACAAAACCUAAAGGCGAAAUGAAAGUGAAGGUCCGCCUUGCGCGGACCGAGGGAGGAUGGGCGACCGUUCCGGCUGUCGCCUCGCACUCCCGGGGCGUCUCAUUCUCAUUGCGAGAAGAGGCGCACCAAGAGCGUACACGCUGGGACCCGAAAGAUGGUGAACUAUGCCUGGUCAGGACGAAGUCAGGGGAAACCCUGAUGGAGGUCCGUAGCGAUUCUGACGUGCAAAUCGAUCGUCGGAACUGGGUAUAGGGGCGAAAGACUAAUCGAACCAUCUAGUAGCUGGUUCCCUCCGAAGUUUCCCUCAGGAUAGCUGGCGCUCGUAGUACACGAGUUUCAUCCGGUAAAGCGAAUGAUUAGAGGCAUUGGGGUCGAAACGGCCUCAACCUAUUCUCAAACUUUAAAUGGGUGAGAUCUCCGGCUUGCUCGAACUCAUGAAGCCGCGAGACUCGAAUCAGAG